rnacentral:misc_RNA from 1 species
AUAUAUCAAGCCAUUCAAGCUAUGUUUGAUUGGUCUUGGAUGUUGAGGGUUGCUGGAUGUUAAGGAUCAGCUCCCUUUAAAUGCAUUAGCUUAGAACUUAUAAGUGACUGAAGCUUAAGCUAAUAUAAAUACUUGGUAUUAAGUGCUUAUGCUAAAUGUUGCGUGUUCAAGCUUAAAACUGUCUCAAAUGAGACUGUCUUUGGACAAUCCUGC